rnacentral:rRNA from 1 species
UACAGAGGUCUCAAGCGUUGUUCGGAUUCAUUGGGCGUAAAGGGUGCGUAGGUGGCGCGCUAAGUCAGGUGUGAAAUUUCGGAGCUUAACUCCGAAACUGCAUUUGAUACUGGCGUGCUUGAGGACUGGAGAGGAGACUGGAAUUCAUGGUGUAGCAGUGAAAUGCGUAGAUAUCUGGAGGAACACCGGUGGCGAAGGCGGCAUCCUGGACCAACACUGACGCUGAGGCACGAAGGCCAGGGGAGCAAACGGG